GAAACUCUGAAGAUGGAAAAUCAAACACCUGUAAAAAGUGAGGGCGAGCGAGCAUCACAGUAAAUAAAGGCAUGCUUUCUCCAGAUCUGUGAGGCAUUCCAACAGCCUCCAAAGUUCAAAGACCCACUCAAAGGAUGGGCUUCUAGGAUGAGUGCACACUUUUCAGAUGGAAAAAUACAAAUGGCAGCUGUAUGUGUUACAAAUUAUAGCAAAGUUGGAAAGCCAUUUGAAAAUGUUAAGUUAUUCCCAGGAAGCUACAUUAAAUUCUGUCAUUUUUAUUGGAGACCUCCAAUAUUGAGAAGAUGAACAGAGUCAGAUGUGUACAAAGUGUUUGAUGAGUCAGAGACCCAUGGAUCUUUUUCUCUUAUUUGAGGAGACUGGUGCUUUGUGAAGGAAGAGCUUCAUGGUAGUGAGUCUGCUCCAGGGCUCUCGUUAAGAAAUGGUGGAGAUGAUACUGAAACUCAUGAAAUCUGAGGACAGCAGAGAGCAGAGUUUCUCUUGUCCUCUCAAGAAAUGGCUUACCAACACGCCGGAGAGGAACGCAGACACUGUUCUUUGAGGGGGAAGCUGUGGAAAAGAACCACCCAACCAGAAAUGUGUGAAAACAGAGAGCAAGGGUCUAAGACUCAGAUGAUUAAGGAGAGCACCAAUCAAACAAUCACAAGAAAUAAAAAAAUUUAAAUAAAUUGAU